rnacentral:rRNA from 1 species
UGGGGAAUAUUGCACAAUGGGCGCAAGCCUGAUGCAGCCAUGCCGCGUGUAUGAAGAAGGCCUUCGGGUUGUAAAGUACUUUCGGCGGGGAGGAAGGUGUUGUGGUUAAUAACCACAGCAAUUGACGUUACCCGCAGAAGAAGCACCGGCUAACUCCGUGCCAGCAGCCGCGGGAAUACGGAGGGUGCAAGCGUUAAUCGGAAUUAAUGGGCGUAAAGCGCACGCAGGCGGUCUGUCAAGUCGGAUGUGAAAUCCCCGGGCUCAACCUGGGAACUGCAUCCGAAACUGGCAGGCUUGAGUCUUGUAGAGGGGGGUAGAAUUCCAGGUGUAGCGGUGAAAUGCGUAGAGAUCUGGAGGAAUACCGGUGGCGAAGGCGGCCCCCUGGACAAAGACUGACGCUCAGGUGCGAAAGCGUGGGGAGCAAACA